UGGGAUUACCAUCCAGCUUUAAAUAGUUUUAACUGAUGGCUUAUGCUCUACUGUUUCUAGAUGACACAAUACAAUGUUGGAGCUUUAGUGGUGGUGAGACCCGGAGAAGAGAAGGCAAUUGCUGGAAUUGUUACUGAGAGAGAUUAUCUCCGGAAAAUGAUUGUACAAGGAAGAUCUUCCAAGUCAACUAAAGUUGGUGACAACAUGACUGUAGAG